rnacentral:rRNA from 1 species
GACGGAGGGUGCAAGCGUUGUCCGGAAUUACUGGGCGUAAAGCGCACGUAGGCGGCUGUUUGAGUCGUCUGUGAAAGCCCGGGGCUCAACCCCGGGACUGCAGGCGAUACUGGACGGCUAGAGCACGGUAGAGGCGAGUGGAAUUCCCGGUGUAGCGGUGGAAUGCGUAGAUAUCGGGAAGAACACCAGUGGCGAAGGCGGCUCGCUGGGCCGUUGCUGACGCUGAGGUGCGAAAGCGUGGGGAGCAAACAGG